UACAGGGGGUGCAAGCGUUGUCCGGAAUUAUUGGGCGUAAAGAGCUCGUAGGCGGUUUGUUGCGUCGGCUGUGAAAUCCCGAGGCUCAACCUCGGGUCUGCAGUCGAUACGAGCAAACUAGAGUGUUGCAGGGGAGACUGGAAUUCCGGGUGUAGCGGUGAAAUGCGUAGAUAUCCGGAGGAACACCGGUGGCGAAGGCGGCUUCCUGGACCGACACUGACGCUGAGGCGCGAAAGCUAGGGGAGCAAACGGG
rnacentral:rRNA from 1 species